rnacentral:pre_miRNA from 1 species
UCAAUGUUUGACCAUUCGUCUUAUUUAAAAUAUUUAUGUAACUAUCAUUUAUUUUAUUGUGACUUGAUUUAUCAUCAAAUGUUCUUUAAGCAUGACAUAAAUUAUUUUGUACUUGCGCAAAAAAUUUGAAUAAGACGAACGGUUAAACGUUGG